UGGAAUGAUGAAAUUUUUUAACUCGUAGCAUACCUUCAAGGGAUGCUUUGAAGAACAAAAACCGCAACAACAACACUCUAAUUUUUUGCUGACU
rnacentral:snoRNA from 1 species